AACACAAAAAUACCCCCAGCUCGCUUUUGUUUUGAGCUGUGUUAGGGACCA
rfam:Cardamine chlorotic fleck carmovirus genome, replicase, coat protein, p8 protein, and p9 protein genes, complete cds.